rnacentral:rRNA from 1 species
UAGGGAAUCUUCGGCAAUGGACGAAAGUCUGACCGAGCAACGCCGCGUGAGUGAAGAAGGUUUUCGGAUCGUAAACUCUGUUGUUAGAGAAGAACAAGGGUGAGAGUAACUGUUCACCCCUUGACGGUAUCUAACCAGAAAGCCACGGCUAACUACGUGCCCG